UACGUAGGGUGCAAGCGUUGUCCGGAAUUAUUGGGCGUAAAGAGCUCGUAGGCGGUUUGUCGCGUCUGCUGUGAAAAUCCAGGGCUUAACCCUGGACCUGCAGUGGGUACGGGCAGACUAGAGUGCGGUAGGGGAGAUCGGAAUUCCUGGUGUAGCGGUGAAAUGCGCAGAUAUCAGGAGGAACACCGGUGGCGAAGGCGGAUCUCUGGGCCGAUACUGACGCUGAGGAGCGAAAGCGUGGGGAGCAAACAGG
rnacentral:rRNA from 1 species